rnacentral:rRNA from 1 species
GACGAACGCUGGCGGCGUGCCUAAUACAUGCAAGUUGAGCGCUGAAGGUUGGUACUUGUACCGACUGGAUGAGCAGCGAACGGGUGAGUAACGCGUGGGGAAUCUGCCUUUGAGCGGGGGACAACAUUUGGAAACGAAUGCUAAUACCGCAUAAAAACUUUAAACACAAGUUUUAAGUUUGAAAGAUGCAAUUGCAUCACUCAAAGAUGAUCCCGCGUUGUAUUAGCUAGUUGGUGAGGUAAAGGCUCAACAAGGCGAUGAUACAUAGCCGACCUGAGAGGGUGAUCGGCCACAUUGGGACUGAGACACGGCCCAAACUCCUACGGGAGGCAGCAGUAGGGCAUCUUCGGCAAUGGACGAAAGUCUGACCGAGCAACGCCGCGUGAGUGAAGAAGGUUUUCGGAUCGUAAAACUCUGUUGGUAGAGAAGAACGUUGGUGAGAGUGGAAAGCUCAUCAAGUGACGGUAACUACCCAGAAAGGGACGGCUAACUACGUGCCAGCCGCCGCGGUAA